GCUCCUCCUUCCCAGAAGCAACCGGACGGCCAUGGAGGCCGAAGAGACGAUGGAAUGCCUUCAGGAGUUCCCUGAACAUCAUAAAAUGAUCCUGGACCGAUUGAAUGAACAGCGAGAGCAGGACCGGUUUACUGACAUCACCCUGAUUGUCGACGGACACCAUUUUAAGGCCCACAAGGCUGUUUUGGCUGCUUGCAGCAAGUUCUUCUAUAAAUUCUUUCAGGAGUUUACUCAGGAACCUUUGGUGGAGAUAGAAGGUGUUAGUAAAAUGGCCUUUCGUCAUUUGAUUGAGUUCACAUAUACAGCAAAGUUAAUGAUACAAGGAGAAGAAGAAGCCAAUGAUGUAUGGAAAGCAGCAGAGUUUCUACAGAUGCUAGAAGUUAUCAAAGCCCUUGAAGUCAGAAACAAAGAAAACUCAGCUCCACUAGAGGAAAAUACCACAGGGAAAAAUGAAGCAAAAAAAAGAAAGAUUGCAGAAACUUCAAAUGUUAUCACUGAGUCAUUGCCAUCUGCAGAAUCUGAACCUGUUGAAAUUGAGGUGGAGAUUGCCGAAGGCACAAUCGAAGUGGAAGAUGAAGGCAUCGAAACGUUGGAGGAAGUGGCUUCUGCCAAGCAGUCCAUAAAGUACAUUCAGAGCACAGGUUCCUCUGAUGAUUCCGCUCUGGCAUUGUUGGCAGAUAUUACCAGCAAGUACCGCCAAGGCGAUAGAAAAGGGCAGAUUAAAGAUGAAGACGGCUGUGCAUCUGACCCCACAAGCAAACAGGUAGAAGGAACACAUGAAAUCACACUCCACUGAGAGUUUCAAGUGUGAAAUAUGCAAUAAAAGGUAUCUUCGGGAGAGCGCGUGGAAACAGCACCUCAGUUGUUACCACCUGGAAGAAGGUGGAGUCAGUAAGAAGCAGAGAACUGGGAAAAAAAUACACAUAUGUCAGUACUGUGAGAAGCAGUUUGACCACUUUGGACAUUUUAAAGAGCAUCUUCGAAAACAUACAGGUNAGAAGAGGGAUCUUUCCCAUAAGUGA